UAUAGAAGAUGCUUGUUACCAA
rnacentral:siRNA from 1 species